rnacentral:rRNA from 1 species
AUUGAACGCUGGCGGCAGGCCUAACACAUGCAAGUCGAGCGGGGUUUUCGGACCUAGCGGCGGACGGGUGAGUAAUGCGUAGGAAGCUACCCGAUAGAGGGGGAUACCAGUUGGAAACGACUGUUAAUACCGCAUAAUGUCUACGGACCAAAGUGUGGGACCUUCGGGCCACAUGCUAUCGGAUGCGCCUACGUGGGAUUAGCUAGUUGGUGGGGUAAUGGCUCACCAAGGCGACGAUCCCUAGCUGGUUUGAGAGGAUGAUCAGCCACACUGGAACUGAGACACGGUCCAGACUCCUACGGGAGGCAGCAGUGGGGAAUAUUGGACAAUGGGCGCAAGCCUGAUCCAGCCAUGCCGCGUGUGUGAAGAAGGCCUUCGGGUUGUAAGGCACUUUCAGUAGGGAGGAAGGGUGUUGUGUUAAUAGCACAGCAUUUUGACGUUACCUACAGAAGAAGCACCGGCUAACUCUGUGCCAGCCGCCGCAGUAAAAC